GAUGAACGCUGGCGGCGUGCUUAACACAUGCAAGUCGAACGAAGCACUUUAUUUGAUUUCCUUCGGGACUGAUUAUUUUGUGACUGAGUGGCGGACGGGUGAGUAACGCGUGGGUAACCUGCCUUGUACAGGGGGAUAACAGUUGGAAACGGCUGCUAAUACCGCAUAAGCGCACGGCAUCGCAUGAUGCAGUGUGAAAAACUCCGGUGGUAUAAGAUGGACCCGCGUUGGAUUAGCUAGUUGGUGAGGUAACGGCCCACCAAGGCGACGAUCCAUAGCCGACCUGAGAGGGUGACCGGCCACAUUGGGACUGAGACGCGGCCCAAACUCCUACGGGAGGCAGCAGUGGGGAAUAUUGCACAAUGGGCGAAAGCCUGAUGCAGCGACGCCGCGUGAGCGAAGAAGUAUUUCGGUAUGUAAAGCUCUAUCAGCAGGGAAGAUAAGGACGGUACCUGACUAAGAAGCACCGGCUAAAUACGU
rnacentral:rRNA from 1 species